rnacentral:rRNA from 1 species
GAUGAACGCUGGCGGCGUGCCUAAUACAUGCAAGUUGAGCGGGAGGUUUACCUCCAGCAGCGAACGGGUGAGUAACACGUAUCUAACCUGCCCUUAAGUCUGGAAUAACGUUGGGAAACCGACGCUAAUGCCGGAUAGGUAAUUGAAUCUUAUGAAUUAAUUAUUAAAGAAGCGUUUGCUUCGCUAAAGGAUGGGGAUGCGCAGCAUUAGAUAGUUGGUGGGGUAAUUGCCCACCAAGUCAACGAUGCUUAGCCGACCUGAGAGGGUGAUCGGCCACAUCGGGACUGAGACACGGCCCGGACUUCUACGGAAGGCAGCAGUAAGGAAUUUUUCACAAUGGGCGAAAGCCUGAUGAAGCAAUGCCGCGUGAUUGACGAAGGUCUUCGGAUUGUAAAGAUCUGUGGUUAGGAAUGAAGCAAGAAUAGGAAUGAUUUUUGCCUGACAGUACCUAAUUAGAAAGUCACGGCUAACUACGUGCCAGCCGCCGCGGU